AAAAAAAAACCAGAAGGGCAGCCACCUUCCAAGCCACCCCGACCCUCCGGAACGGACCCAGCAGCACCGGCCAGCUCCCGCCAGCAACCUCAGCCCGUCCGCCGCCCCUGCUGGAGCCGCUGGAAACUGCUGGAAAACGCAGCAGUUUUGGCCGAUUUUCCAACCUCAGUUUCUCCCUCAUCCGGACACCAAAUCAGUCGUGUGAGGCAUCAGAGGCCAAACUGAACCACAGGAGGGACCUUCAAGAGGUCCAGCUAGCUCGGACCAGCAGCCGUAGAAGAACGAAGGAAACCACUCGGGCCAUCAUCCUAGCUUCCGACCCACCACCAAAGUGUAGGAGUUCGUUGUAACUCUUUUGUAAAUCCUGUAAAUUUGUAUAGAAAUGCUCUGAGAUCUUGUUGAACAAUAGGACUGGUAGGAUUUUUGAGACUGUUUGACAGGUGGAAGACUUUGUGUUUGGUCAAAAUACAGGGUAGACUCUGCCGGAUUUUCGGCAGAAGUCGAAAGUAAAUUUUAAGAAAUUUGUUUAA